rnacentral:tRNA from 1 species
GUAAGGCAACGACGUUGCGAUAUGUUCUGCUAUUUUAUUCCUGUUUUGUUCUGUUUUCUGCGACUGAAAAUCGCAGUGUCGGUGGUUCGAUUCCGCCCCUGGGCACCA